AGCAGCCGCGGUAAUUCCAGCUCCAAUAGCGUAUAUUAAAGUUGUUGCAGUUAAAAAGCUCGUAGUUGAAUUUCGGGGUCAGCAGGUCGGUCGUGCCACUGGUAUGUACUGGUCUUGCUGAUUCCUCCCUCUUGACGAACCGUAAUGCCAUUAAUUUGGUGUUGCGGGAAAUCAGGACUGUUACUUUGAAAAAUUAGAGUGUUUAAAGCAGGCUUACGCUUGAAUACAUUAGCAUGGAAUAAUGAAAUAGGACGUUCGAUCCUAUUUUGUUGGUUUCUAGGAUUGACGUAAUGAUUAAUAGGGAUAGUUGGGGGCAUUAGUAUUCAAUUGUCAGAGGUGAAAUUCUUGGAUUUAUUGAAGACUAACUACUGCGAAAGCAUUUGCCAAGGAUGUUUUCAUUAAUCAAGAACGAAAGUUAGGGGGAUCGAAGACGAUCAGAUACCGUCGUAG
rnacentral:rRNA from 1 species